rnacentral:rRNA from 1 species
UACGAAGGGGGGCUAGCGUUGCUCGGAAUCACUGGGCGUAAAGCGCACGUAGGCGGCUUCUUAAGUCAGGGGUGAAAUCCUGGAGCUCAACUCCAGAACUGCCUUUGAUACUGAGGAGCUUGGAGUCCGGGAGAGGUGAGUGGAACUGCGAGUGUAGAGGUGAAAUUCGUAGAUAUUCGCAAGAACACCAGUGGCGAAGGCGGCUCACUGGCCCGGUACUGACGCUGAGGUGCGAAAGCGUGGGGAGCAAACAGG